CAGGAUCUUGAAUACGCUGGGUGCAUUGAGUGACCUGCAUUCGGUUACUAGAGAUCCUAAAGUAAUGCUGCUUUCUGAUGAGCAGGGAUCGGAUAGAUAGCAUCCCUGCACAGAUACGGAGCACACAUUC